rnacentral:rRNA from 1 species
ACUGAGACACGGCCCAGACUCCUACGGGAGGCAGCAGUGGGGAAUAUUGCACAAUGGGCGCAAGCCUGAUGCAGCGACGCCGCGUGAGGGAUGACGGCCUUCGGGUUGUAAACCUCUUUCAGCAGGGAAGAAGCGAAAGUGACGGUACCUGCAGAAGAAGCGCCGGCUAACUACGUGCCAGCAGCCGCGGUAAUACGUAGGGCGCAAGCGUUGUCCGGAAUUAUUGGGCGUAAAGAGCUCGUAGGCGGCUUGUCGCGUCGGAUGUGAAAGCCCGGGGCUUAACCCCGGGUCUGCAUUCGAUACGGGCAGGCUAGAGUUCGGUAGGGGAGAUCGGAAUUCCUGGUGUAGCGGUGAAAUGCGCAGAUAUCAGGAGGAACACCGGUGGCGAAGGCGGAUCUCUGGGCCGAUACUGACGCUGAGGAGCGAAAGCGUGGGGAGCGAACAGGAUUAGAUACCCUGGUAGUCCACGCCGUAAACGUUGGGAACUAGGUGUGGGCGACAUUCCACGUUGUCCGUGCCGCAGCUAACGCAUUAAGUUCCCCGCCUGGGGAGUACGGCCGCAAGGCUAAAACUCAAAGGAAUUGACGGGGGCCCGCACAAGCGGCGGAGCAUGUGGCUUAAUUCGACGCAACGCGAAGAACCUUACCAAGGCUUGACAUACACCGGAAACGUCUGGAGACAGGCGCCCCCUUGUGGUCGGUGUACAGGUGGUGCAUGGCUGUCGUCAGCUCGUGUCGUGAGAUGUUGGGUUAAGUCCCGCAACGAGCGCAACCCUUGUUCUGUGUUGCCAGCAUGCCCUUCGGGGUGAUGGGGACUCACAGGAGACUGCCGGGGUCAACUCGGAGGAAGGUGGGGACGACGUCAAGUCAUCAUGCCCCUUAUGUCUUGGGCUGCACACGUGCUACAAUGGCCGGUACAAUGAGCUGCGAAGCCGUGAGGUGGAGCGAAUCUCAAAAAGCCGGUCUCAGUUCGGAUUGGGGUCUGCAACUCGACCCCAUGAAGUCGGAGUCGCUAGUAAUCGCAGAUCAGCAUUGCUGCGGUGAAUACGUUCCCGGGCCUUGUACACACCGCCCGUCACGUCACGAAAGUCGGUAACACCCG